AUGACCCCGUUGUUGCCACAGCCGGCAUCCGCGGCCGUGUCUGUCAGCAGCAUCCCGUCUCCGUCGCCGCCGCCGAUGCAGCCGCAGCCAGCGGGGACGAACUUGGACCAAUUGCCAGCCGCUGGCCCCGGCAGCGGCAGCGGCGCGGUCAACUUCCACCACGACGACGACAACAUGCUGGUCGACGCCGGAAGCGGCAGAAGCGGCGGCGACGCGGGGGCGGGAGGGUCCGGCAGCCGGUGGCCGCGGGAGGAAACGGUGGCGCUCAUCAGGAUCCGGUCGGAGAUGGACGCCGCCUUCCGGAACGCCGCCCUCAAGGCCCCCAUCUGGGAGGAGGUCUCCAGGAAGCUUGCGGAGCUGGGCUACCGUAGGAGCGCCAAGAAGUGCAAGGAGAAGUUCGAGAACGUGGACAAGUACUACCGCCGCACCAAGGAAGGCCGCGCCGGGCGUCAGGACGGCAAGAACUACCGCUUCUUCGCGGAGCUCGAAGCGCUCCACGCCGCGGCCCCGCAGCAGAACCUGCCAAUGGCGACCGCCGCGACAAUCUUGCCAGAUCCUCGGCCGUUGGCAAUGGCGCCUGCCUAUCCUGGCGCUGGCCUGCCGGACCUCAGCUUGUCGUCGAAUUCGGAGUCAGAGUCGGACGACGAGUCAGACGAGGAGGAAGACCAGGCGGGCGGCGGUGGCGGCAGGAGCAACGAGGGGAUGAUGGCGCUCUUCGAGGGGAUGAUAAAGCAGAUCACGGAGAAGCAAGACGCCACGCAGCGGCUGUUCCUGGAGACGCUUGAGAAGUGGGAGGCCGACCGCACCGCGCGAGAGGAGGCAUGGCGGCGGCAGGAGCUGGCGCGCAUAAGCCGCGAAAGGGAGCAGCACGCCCGGGAGCGAGCCGCUGCGGCCGCCCGCGAUGCGGCCCUGAUCGCGUUCCUCCAGCGCGUCGGCGGGAACUCCGUGCUGCCCACGCCAAUGCCGGCCCACACGGCGCCUCAUCCAGACGCGCCGGCCGCCUCGCUCCAGCUGGUGGUCGCGGCGUCGGAGGAGGGCGGCCGGCGAGGGGGAGGGGAGAGCGGCGCGGGCAUGUCACGAUGGCCCAAGGAGGAGGUCCAUGCGCUGAUCCAGCUGCGGAUGGAGAAGGACGAGCACUGCCAGGACAUGGGGGCCAAAGGGCCGCUGUGGGAGGACAUCUCCGCCGGCAUGCGAAGGAUCGGCUACAACCGGAGCUCCAAGCGGUGCAAGGAGAAGUGGGAGAACAUCAACAAGUACUUCAAGAAGGUGAAGGAGAGCAACAAGAGGCGCCCCGAGGACUCCAAGACGUGCCCCUACUUCCACCAGCUCGACGCUAUAUACCGCAAGAAGCAAUUCGCCGUGAACAACGCCGGCGGCGGCUGCUCUAGCACUGCCUCCGGGAACGCUGUGGGCGCGGUCAACGCCUCCGCCUCGGAGCAGCAUAACCCCUGGCGCGAGCUCGAGGGUAAGAUCAGCAACGACUUUGACAGGAGGCACAGCGUUGGAGGGGGAAGCUCAGAUGCCCCGCCCGGCGAUGGCGAGGUGGCCGCGGCCAGUACCGUGCUUGAUGCCAUCGCUACAAACAAGGUAAUGACUCGGACUUUUGAAUCUCUCCAUGCAAGAGCUUUUCAUACUUGGAAGUCCAAUGCACGCAACUUAAUCGGAAUUUUCGUGGCACAGAAGUCUGAAGACAACGUGAUGGCAAUGGAGUCAAACAUUCAGUCCCAGCAGACGGAGGUGACGGCGACGGACGAGACGGACAGCGACGACAUCGAAGGCAACUACAGCGAUGAUGGCGACGACGACGGCGACGAGGAUGACAAGAUGAAGUACACCAUAGAGUUCCAGAAGCACAAAGAGGGCGGAAGCGGUAGCGCUCCUGCCCCGGCGACAGCUGCGACGGUGGUGACGAGUUCGGCCCCGACAGGCAGCACCUUCCUUGCUGUUCAGUAG
rnacentral:rRNA from 1 species